rnacentral:misc_RNA from 1 species
UUGCACUCCACAAGGCACGUUUCCUUCCAAGCGUAAGGAGGGAAAAGUUUCUGCUCAAUCAUUGUAAGAACAGGCUACGUACAUUAAGGAACAAACAGAAAAUUUGGCGUAUUGAUACUAUUGGCAAAUUUGAAAAUUCAACUUUCUGAAAUCAGUAUCUUUUGCUAUAUCUUUCUCUGUAAUUUGAUCAAAGUCAAGUGAUUCUGAGAUAUAUAUAUAUAUAUUGAAAGUCACAAAGGAAGGUAUAUUUUAUAUUAGAAUAGCCCACAUAUCAAAAUAACAAUUUAAGUUCAUUUCAGCAUUUGAUUCGCAAG